rnacentral:tRNA from 1 species
AGAGAUGUAGUUCAGAUCUAGAGCAUUUGCCUAACAUGCAAGAGGGCCUGGGUACAAUCCCCAGUACCACAG